rnacentral:rRNA from 1 species
GAGUUUGAUCCUGGCUCAGAUUGAACGCUGGCGGUAUGCUUAACACAUGCAAGUCGAACGGUAACAGCAAGAGCUUGCUCUUGGCUGACGAGUGGCGGACGGGUGAGUAACGCGUGGGAAUCUACCCAGAAGUUCGGGACAACCUGGUGAAAACCAGGCUAAUACCGAAUGUUGUCUACGGACUAAAGGAGGGGAUCUUCGGACCUUUCGCUUUUGGAUGAGCCCGCGUUAGAUUAGCUAGUUGGUGGGGUAAAGGCCUACCAAGGCGACGAUCUAUAGCUGGUCUGAGAGGACGAUCAGCCACACUGGGACUGAGACACGGCCCAGACUCCUACGGGAGGCAGCAGUGGGGAAUAUUGGACAAUGGGCGCAAGCCUGAUCCAGCAACACCGCGUGUGUGAAGAAGGCCUGCGGGUUGUAAAGCACUUUCAAUUGUGAAGAAAAGUUAUAGCUUAAUACGCUAUGACCUUGACGUUAACUUCAGAAGAAGCACCGGCUAACUCCGUGCCAGCAGCCGCGGUAAUACGGAGGGUGCGAGCGUUAAUCGGAAUUACUGGGCGUAAAGCGUGCGUAGGCGGUUAUUUAAGUCAGAUGUGAAAGCCCAGGGCUCAACCUUGGAACUGCAUUUGAAACUGGAUAACUAGAGUUUGGUAGAGGUGAGUAGAAUUCCUAGUGUAGCGGUGAAAUGCGUAGAUAUUACGAGGAAUACCAGUGGCGAAAGCGGCUCACUGGACCAAAACUGACGCUGAGGUACGAAAGCGUGGGGAGCGAACGGGAUUAGAUACCCCGGUAGUCCACGCCGUAAAACGAUGUCAACUAGUCGUUGGGCCUUUCGGGGCUUAGUGACGCAGCUAACGCGUGAAGUUGACCGCCUGGGGGAGUACGGCCGCAAGGCUAAAACUCAAAUGAAUUGACGGGGGCCCGCACAAGCGGUGGAGCAUGUGGUUUAAUUCGAUGCAACGCGAAGAACCUUACCUACCCUUGACAUCAUCAGAACUUGUUAGAGAUAACUCGGUGCCUUCGGGAACUGAAUGACAGGUGCUGCAUGGCUGUCGUCAGCUCGUGUCGUGAGAUGUUGGGUUAAGUCCCGCAACGAGCGCAACCCUUGUCCUUAGUUGCCAGCACGUAAUGGUGGGAACUCUAAGGAGACUGCCGGUGAUAAACCGGAGGAAGGUGGGGAUGACGUCAAGUCAUCAUGGCCCUUAUGGGUAGGGCUACACACGUGCUACAAUGGCCGGUACAGAGGGCAGCGAACUCGCGAGAGCAAGCCAAUCCCACAAAGCCGGUCGUAGUCCGGAUUGGAGUCUGCAACUCGACUCCAUGAAGUCGGAAUCGCUAGUAAUCGUGAAUCAGAAUGUCACGGUGAAUACGUUCCCGGGCCUUGUACACACCGCCCGUCACACCAUGGGAGUGGGCUGCAAAAGAAGUAGGUAGUUUAACCUUCGGGAGGACGCUUACCACUUUGUGGUUCAUGACUGGGGUGAAGUCGUAACAAGGUAAC